AAGCUUACAAUCAUCUUAACUUUUGUAAAAGUUAGAGUUUUAUCAACUAGUCUUUUCUAGUCUCCUUCCCCUUUAGCGUGUCUGAACUAGAAGAUUCUUCUAUCUGAUUCCUGAACUGUUGAAGAAAUAUUUCAAUGUCCAUCUCUUCUGCGCUAUGAAUUCUUUGGGAUUCUCCAGCUAUAAAGGUGUCUUCUUCUUCAUUUGAGGAAAUCUGUCUAGAAUGAAAACGCGAAUGAAUUAUGCUGAAACUGCAAAAGUGACUACCAACGUAGCUAUCGACGGUCCAUUAGUGGCCACCAUCGUAUGAAGGAAAAGAAUUGAAUGAAGAUUGGGGAAUUCUGACUAAGUGUGGCGAUACGGAGGCUCUCGACGGACCGUCAUCUCCACGACGGAUCUUGCUUCACAUCCGUCAUCGUCAACAGAAAGUAGCCCCAAUACCCAUCUUGAAAAGAAGCAAAUUUCGGAGUGGACCACGACGGUUCAUCGUGGACUUGACGACCGUCAUCUAGGUUUUUGACUCAGACGCGGUUUUUGGGCAGAUUUUUCUUAAAUAGAUUUCCCUAUUUUAUUAGGACUAGUAUUAUAAAUACUUGUAAAAACCUCAUUUUUGAGGUUAGACUCUUGGGUAUUUUUUAGAUUUUAUUAUUCUAGUUGUGAACUUGUGAUUUUGGGAAAUUAUUCUAUUUUUUGGAAAUCGUUUAUUGCAAGCUUAUUGAUUAA